AGGGAGAGCGUCAGACUGAAGAUCUGAAGGUCCUGUGUUCGAUCCAC
rnacentral:tRNA from 11 species